GGACUACUGGGGUAUCUAAUCCUGUUUGCUCCCCACGCUUUCGCACCUGAACGUCAAUGUCAGACCAGGAAGCCGCCUUCGCCACUGAUGUUCCUCCAGAUAUCUACGCAUUUCACCGCUACACCUGGAAUUCCGCUUCCCUCUUCCACAUUCUAGCCAUGCAGUUUCGAAUGCAGUUCCCAGGUUAAGCCCGGGGAUUUCACAUCCGACUUACAAAGCCGUCUACGUGCGCUUUACGCCCAGUAAUUCCGAUUAACGCUCGCACCCUCUGUAUUACCGCGGCGGCUGGCAC
rnacentral:rRNA from 2 species